rnacentral:lncRNA from 1 species
GCAACAAGGCUAUUUAUACCCGUACACGCGACCGCCCCGGAUACUCGUGACCCUAGACCCCUCCCCGGGUGCAUGCAGGCACUGCCCAUUUUAUCCCACAUGAGUUACCUCUGGUUUUGGCUUUGCAGUCCUGUCCUGCUCUGAGGUUUGCUCUAAAUUACAUAAGAUCACUACUUUUUCUACAGAAAUCAAAAGGCAAAUCAGAUACUUACUUACAAUUUUUUCCUGUCAGGUUAACUGUUGAAAUAAGAAAGGUGCUUGCUUUCUGCUCUGUGCCUGGGUCCUCUAAUACCAACGUAUUGUCUCUGCAUAAACAUGCUUAUGAGUUUUGA